rnacentral:rRNA from 1 species
UACAGAGGUCCCGAGCGUUGUUCGGAUUCACUGGGCGUAAAGGGUGCGUAGGUGGUGAGGCAAGUCGGAUGUGAAAGCUCGGAGCUCAACUCCGAAAUGGCAUUGGAAACUGCCUUGCUCGAGGUUUGGAGGGGGGACUGGAAUGCUUGGUGUAGCAGUGAAAUGCGUAGAUAUCAAGCGGAACACCAGUGGCGAAGGCGAGUCCCUGGACAACACCUGACACUGAGGCACGAAAGCUAGGGGAGCAAACAGG